AAAAAUCCUCUAAUUUAGUGGAUAAAUGUGUUCUCUCUGCACCUAUAUUUGGAGCAUAGAUAUUCACAAAAAUAAAAAUAAACGUGUUCAUUUCUGCCCUCACAAUCAACAAUCUCCCAGGAUCAAUUUCAAUUUUUGACAAAAUUUUCACUUUAACAGUAGGGGGGAAAAAAGUACUACCACACCAGCCCUCAAAUUGGACCCAUGACUAAGGACUAGGGAUCCCACCCAAAAAGACUUCCAUGAGAAAAAGGGAGAUAAAGAAAGAAAAAGUACAGAAAAGGAAGAAAUUAGUCAUCAUGAUGAUGUUGGCAUUUUCCCUUUGCUAUUCCUCUCACUAUUCUUUCGCUCCCUGUUUGUUUUCCUUGUCUAAUAUAUAAUUUUCAUUUUUGAACCAAUCCUUUGAAGGAUUUUUGUUGGUUAAAGCAAGCACAAUUUUCCUUCUUUUCUUAUCGUUUGUAUUUAUACUCCGGUUUCCUCCCCAAGUCCAAAGACAUGCAUGGUGGGCUGAUUGGCGUGUCUAAAGUGUCCGUAGUGUAUGGGUGUGUGACUGGGACAGGGAGUAAGUGCAGGAUCAAUAGUCUUUAUUGACACACUAAAGUCAAUGUCAAAGGAAACGUGGUCAAAACAUAAACUAGAUUUGAGGCGUGAAACUUAGAACAAGACUUUGAAAGAAUACCUACACAUUAACCCGUUUUAAAUCUAUACUCAUCUAUCGUUUAGCUCUGGCAUAAAACAAGAAACUAGACAUAGAAGUCAUUUAACUAAGGCCAUGGCAUGGAACAAGAAACUAGACAUGGAAGACUACUGCAUAGAACAGCACGUUCGCCUCACAACUCCAGGGUCUGGGGUUUGAUUCCCGCCGGGGCCAUGUGUGUGUGUGUGUGUGUGUGUGGAGUUUGCAUGUUCUCCCUGUGCUGCGGGGGUUUCCUCCGGGUACUCCGGUUCCCUCCCCCAGUCCAAAGACAUGCAUGGUAGACUGAUUGGAGUGUCUAAAGUGUCCGUAGUGUGCGAGUGUGUAUGUGAUUGUGCCCUGCGAUGGACUGGCACCCUGUCCAGGGUGUACCCUGCCCUGUGCCCGAUGUUCCCUGGGAUAGGCUCCAAGUUCCCUCGCGACCCUGAAGAAGGAGUAAGUGGUAGAAGAUGGAUGGAUGGAUGGCCAGGGCUUUAAAUAACUAAUGACAUUUACCUUAAAUGCCUACCGCUGGUAAGAAUUGAACACACCCUCACACCUCCGACAAUAACUUAACAGGGAGGGGACAGAACAGACUGCUCGGCGGUCCUGGCCCCCUAUGUAACCCGUCCUUCGCUGCAUCAGGAAACAGGGUGGCCUCCGCCGGGCAGCAGGCAGGCAGAGCACCACCUGCACCGGGCGAUGUCCACUGCUGGAACUCGGGGCGACGUCGGCAGCAGGGCUGGAGCUCGGAGAGACGUCCUCGGCAGGACAACACAGCGGGACAGCUUCCUCGACGGGACAGGACAGCGGAACAGCUUAAUCGGUGGGACAGGACAGCGGGACAGCUUCCUUGGCGGGACAGGACAGCGGGGCGGCCUCCUCAGCAGCUGAGAUAUCCCCAGGGGUCUCUGGCUGGAGCUCUGAGGUCGCCAGGUUGACCUCAGACGGGAGCUCCGAGGUCGCCAAGUUGACCUCGCGCUGGAGCUCCGGAGCUGAGACCUCCCCGUAGGUCUCAAGCUGGAGCUCCAAGGUCGCCAAGUUGAUCUCGAGCUGGAGCUCCGGAGCUGAG
ensembl:lncRNA